rnacentral:rRNA from 1 species
CCUACGGGAGGCAGCAGUGGGGAAUAUUGGACAAUGGGGGAAACCCUGAUCCAGCGACGCCGCGUGAGUGAAGAAGUAUUUCGGUACGUAAAGCUCUAUCAGCAGGGAAGAAAAUGACGGUACCUGACUAAGAAGCCCCGGCUAACUACAUGCCAGCAGCCGCGGUAAUACGUAGGGGGCAAGCGUUAUCCGGAUUUACUGGGUGUAAAGGGAGUGUAGACGGCAGCGCAAGUCUGGAGUGAAAUGCCGGGGCCCAACCCCGGAACUGCUCUGGAAACUGUGAAUCUGGCGUGCAUGAGAGGUAAGCGGAAGUCCUGGGGUAGCGGUGAAAGGCGUAGAUAUGAGGCGGAACACAGGCGGCGAAGGCGGGUUACUGGACUGUAACAGACGUGGAGGCUCGAAGGAGUGGGGAGCAAACAGGAUUAGAUACCCGGGUAGUC